AUGCUAUGGCUGACUAGAGCACGCCGCAACCACUGUCGUCUGCAAAUCCAACGGCCACCGCCAAGGCUCCGCUCCAGCCGCUGCACGCGCCGCCAUCCACAGAUCCGACGGCCGCCGCCGGGGCUCUGCCACUCGCCGAUCCAAUCUGCACAAGGAGCCGCCAACAGCCUUCUUGUCGCCAGAACAGAGAAAGGCCCCGCCGCCGCCGCCACCGCACAGGCUUUGCCUGGCGCUGGCCUCCGGCGGCAGCGAGGGGGAGAAGCUGGUGAUGGGGUCGAAGGUGUGGUGGAUUUGGUCGCCGCCCGUGUCGCCUAG
rnacentral:rRNA from 1 species